GAUUAACCCAAAAAAAAAAAAAAAAAAUCAACAGAAACUAAAAAAAUCCCUACGGAUGUGCAUUUUCACCCAAAAAUCAUAUUCGCAAAUCUCCAGAGUCUUCCUCCCACGGUUACAUUUCCCCUCUCUCGCUCAUUUGUCUUCUCCUCCAUUCCCAAUCCAAAAACCCUAUCAAUCAAUCUCUCACCCUCUCUUGUUGAGCGAAAAAGAAAAACUCUCUCACCCUCUCUCUCCCUCCCCUCUUCUCUCUUUCUCUCUCUAAAUUUCGCAGCCAUGAAGCACUUCAUGCAAACAAGAAAUGCGAUCUUGACGGAGACGAAGAUGGAGUCUCCAGCGUCGCCGAACCCUAGCGUAGCCAAGCCCUGGCCGUCGCGGAACUCCAUGGAGACCGCUCCGCCAUUGGACUGAACUCUUUACGUCCGAUUCCGAAGCACUCGCCGGCGCUCUCCGCUGCCAAGUUGAAGAGCCCGCUCCAGCCGCGACCGCCGUCAUCAAACCCUCUUAAGAGGAAGCUGGCUGUGAAGUUCUAUUAUUUAGCUGUUGAAGGAAAAAGUGAAGUGCAUUUUUGCAUCGACAGAGUAAAAUUAGGGCUUGAUUUGGAUUUUGUUGAGUCUAUAAGAGGUAAUAGUGUGAAUGAGGCCACCGCGCAAAGACGGAUGAAGAAGAAAUGAUAGUUCAGAAAAAUUCCAAUGAUUCUUUGACAAUCAAUGGGCAAAUUUCACAUUCGAUUCAGUUGCAGACACAGGUAAAGUCUUCACGGGGAUGUGAGUUUCUCCGGCUUCUUAAACGAAAGGCUCGUUCUUGAACUUCACACGGUGGUGAUAAUGUUCUUUUACUUCACACGGUGGUGAUAAUGUUCUUUUACUUCUUGGGGUUGAGUUAUGUAAUUUCAGUGAAGAAUUGUGUAGCAAGACAUGAUCGUUUGCCAUUGCCCAAUUUUUGCCGUAAAUCACGAGGAUCCUAUUGUUGCUGCUAUAGAAGACAAUAUUUUAACUUGGACCUUCCUUCAUAAAGGUCAGGAAGCUAGGCGGACGAAGUAUGUUGUUUUAAUGGUGUGCAUAACUGAUAAAGGAAAUGUGGUCUUGCACCUCCAGUUAGUUUUUUGAGUUUUGCAGCCUUUAUGUUUUAUCUGGCUAUUUCUAGAUGAAUUACUCGUCUUUUCUCAAGAAGCUGGAAAAUCAUGGGAACCAAACAGCUAAAGGAUAUGUGCAUAAUCUAGCAACGGAGUACACAACAAUCGGAUCAAUUGCAUACCUAUUAUGAACUCUUUAGAGGAACGGAGACAACUUGAGUUUUGGAUAGAAGCAGGAAAGGACUGUGAUGGGGCUUAGUAUGAUGAGCAACUUCAGGAUAAAGUGAUGGAACUUUGUUUCUUCUGAGCUUUAGCACCUGUAUUUCAAACAACACUACUUUUUCAUGGUUUUACUUAAAAAGUUGAUGUGGAUGACCAAGAUGAUCACCUUGAUUUUCAGACCAUGAGAGAAUCUUCUUCUAACAUAGCGUGCGUGCCAUACUCAGAAAUCACUGAAGCACAUUGCCAUGAGAACCUUGAAAGGUGACGACCACGUGGGAUCGAUGUGCUCAAAGGGUUUAUGUCAAAUUUGUAUGUUGAAACAGAAUUUUAUUUAUGUUGCUGCACUUUGUGAUAUGAUUGUGACAUGUUUUGUUGUUUAAAUUAUGAUUUUUAAAUGACGUUAGG